UUGGGCAAGUCAGGAAUUGGUGAAACAAGAGAGGUUAGCUAAAGCUGGAUCGGAGACAAGAGAAGGUCCCUCAAAUACAGACUUUUCAGUAGUAUAUCAUCUCAGGAUUUCCUGUUGAGUAGAAGGUGGAAGAGGGACACAAGCCAUAACUCCUACAGAGAUCAAAACUGGCCUGAGAUGACAGGAGCUCCCUGACUAGGUGGACUUUGGCUGCUUUCCCCUCAAGACAAGCAUGUUCUCCUUCAGCCUCCCAGUGUUUUUAAUUUGGAGACCGCAGAGGGUGAAGCAAGUAGUGAGGCCCCUCCAUCAGUCGGAAGAGGGCCAAAUGUCAUCUGGCCCUUCCCCUCUGUGAAGAACCAAGUCCUCCUCUACAGUCAAUACCAUCAGGCUGCAGCAGAGGACAAGUCAAGUCUGUUUUCUGGAGAUUCAUUCACAGAAGGUGCCUCUGCUUAUUCCUGGGAAUUUCCCCCUCCCACUGCAGAUCACUUUCCCCUUGGUGCUGUAAAAAGUGAGAAAUCUACAGCAUUGACUCUUACACUGCAGUAAUCUCUUUUGGACACUAGAAGCAUGAUGACUUAUGUUAAUAAGUUUCUCUUGGUCAGUCUGAGUCCGUUAGAACUGUUCAGUUGUUGAAGGCAGGUGCCUGUUUGUGUAUGUUGUUCUACGGCUCUCUUGGUAUCUGAUGUUUUACUUUCUUAGUAAACAUUUAUUAGUUUUUUGAACUCAA